CACGUCUAAUGUUUUUGAGCAAAUGCGUUUCUGCUUUACAAGGACAGGAGUGCGCUGGGUGAACCGGGUCAGUUUCUAUGAUCAGAAUGGAGCGCUUGUUGUGGAUUCACCUCUUUCUAGGUCUGAUGAUUCUGUUUGCUGGAACGAAUGGAGAGAUGGAGGUGGACUUGGAGGAAAACAUAACAAUCCCCUGUUCUCUUAAAAUGAAUGGGGCUGUUUUCUGGUAUAAACAACAUGAGGCACAGUCUCCUCUGGUCUUACUACGCUUUCUGGAUGAAACAAUUUCAUUUUACUACAAUGGCAGUUUCAAGAAGAAAUACAUUUUACUACCAGAUGAAGGAUUGUUGAUACAGAACGUCACAGUGGAGGAUUAUGUGGUUUAUUACUGUGGGAAGAUAGAAAAUAUGUCAAUGAAGUUUGACAAUGCCACCAGGCUUAUUAGGAUGAGACAACCUGGGACUAUAAAUGAUCAAUGUGAACCUAAGAACAGGAGUACAUUUUCAGAUGAUCAAUCUGAACCUAAGAACAGGAGUGCAUGUUCAGAGAUUUCUAUUGGAAGUUUCUCAAUUACGAAUCUGCUUAUAUUGUCUGCUGUCUUAAACGGAAUUUUACUAUUACUCUUGGUUGUGGCUAGUUGUUGGAUUUCCGGCCUGCGUAGGAGAGCCUCCACCCAGGGUGCUGGUCCUCCACCUCCUGGUCCUCCUCCACCUCCUGGUCCUCAACCAUACCAUGAGCCACAGUACGAAGCCAUACAGCUGUCACCGACUGCAAGGACACAGCAGCUUGUACCGACCGGUACUAUUUAUUCUAAAGUACAAUUUCCAAGCAUCUCACGAAUGCAGCCCUAUGCAACACCAGAUGACACUUAUACACUGGCUGAUCAUCCAUCUACAUAGGUUCAUCAAGUCUGCCUAAUCCUAACCCUAACCCUGACCAGGGAAUCAGAUCUAACUACAAACUAAUCCAACUAUUUAUUUCCAAGUGCAAUUCUCAACCAAGACAAGGUGGAGCAUUAUCGUCCAAACAUUCUACUUUAUAUUUUUUAAUUUGUAUUCCACAUCUAUUCCAUUGUCAUAUAGAAGUGAUUUCAGUCAAUCAACUUUAAAACAGCCCAAGAACAUACAAACAUACAUAACAACCUAGAAACAAACUUGCAUUUAAGUCAUACAUUGCUCAUCUGCAGGAAAGCGUAACUUGAGACUCACCACUUAACUUGCCUUAUGAGAUCAAAUAAAAUAAAACAUGAAUUUUUGUAACUUAUUCAGGGUAUGAAAAAUCUGUAUGACACUGUUGUUCAUUUACUUUGGCUAUACAGUAGAUUGAUUUGGUAGGCUAUGUGUCAAGCCCUGUCUUUAAUCACAUUCUAUGUUUGUCAUGAGACUGUGGCUGCCCAGGAUUUCUUAACCAUUUCCUGUCACCACCCUUCCCCCCAUCCCACUCCUUCGCCAUCUUGUGACCUUUCACAUGUCCAACCACCCACACGUAUUUGUAUUUUUUUAUGUUCAUUAUCUGACAUGUGAGGACACGGAUAUGAAACAUUUUACUCUGAUGUUGAACAAGUGUCAAAAAAUUGUGUAUUGUAAAGCGUUGCUGUGGCCUAUAUUUAAAGUCAACAUUACUUUUGUCCUGAACUUCAACAUUGGAUAUCAGCCUAUGCAUCAAGGCUUGUGUGUGGUUUCUGUCUUUUUGCUGUUACGUGUGUGUGGUGGGUUUAGAAGCACAGGGAACUACACGGAUGUAGACUGAAUUAAAAAGUUGAAUCUCAAAA